rnacentral:lncRNA from 1 species
CUAGAAACUCCUGGAGGGCAGAGGCAUGCCUGCCAUCUUCAUCAAUGCAUUACCACCACCCAACACUAUCGGGGGACCUGCCCUGAUAAUCAGUCUACAGGUGAAUCCAGCAGCUCCAGAGAGACAGCGACCAGCGAGAAGGGGCCAUGAUGAUGGUGGUGGUUUUGUCAAAACGAAAAGGGGGAUAUGUAGGGAAAAGAAAGAGAG